UACGGGGGGAGCAAGCGUUGUUCGGAUUUACUGGGCGUAAAGGGCGCGUAGGCGGCCACUGCAAGUCGGGUGUGAAAUCUCCGGGCUUAACCCGGAAAGGUCAAUCGAUACUGCAGGGCUAGAGUGCAGAAGGGGCAACUGGAAUUCUCGGUGUAGCGGUGAAAUGCGUAGAUAUCGAGAGGAACACCUGCGGCGAAGGCGGGUUGCUGGGCUGACACUGACGCUGAAGCGCGAAAGCUAGGGGAGCGAACGGG
rnacentral:rRNA from 1 species